UAAUCGCUGACAACCGGGAUAAUUUCAUAGUGGUUGGUGUAAACCAGGACAUUUUAGUGUCCCGAUCGGGACUGUCCCGGUCAAACCGGGGUGUCUGGUCACCCUAAUUUCACUGUUACUUGAUUCCCCCAGCCAGAUGAGUUCUUCUUUUCCCUCUAGAUAUCUCCUGUAACUUUCCAGUGUUUCUUUUAACAAAUUAUUGACAAAUCUUU